UUCUUCUUAUGUCUUUCCCCGCUUAAAAAAAGAUGAUCUGUGGGAUUCUGUCAGCUGCCAUCCACGAGAUAUGAGGUGGACUUCAUUGCCAGUGUCAGUCACUGGUCCUUUCUUUUGGUCUGGAAGCAGUUACCAGAAUCUUCAAAGGUGAUAUGAGUGCUAACAUAGCAGAUUCAUGAUGUCAUGUGUUGACUUGAUUAUGAGAAAUAAAAAGCUUGAUCUGG